UUUCCGUAGGUGAACCUGCGGAAGGAUCAUUAAAGUUAUAGUCCCCCGGCCCUCUGGGCUGGGGUCUUCUAUACCACCCCUUGUUUAUUACACCUUUGUUGCUUUGGCAGGCCUGCCCUCGGGCUGCUGGCUCCGGCCGGCUCGCGUCUGCCAGAGGACCUAAACUCUGUUUGUAUAUGAAGUCUGAGUACUAUAUAAUAGUUAAAACUUUCAACAACGGAUCUCUUGGUUCUG
rnacentral:misc_RNA from 1 species